rnacentral:rRNA from 1 species
GACGAACGCUGGCGGCGUGCUUAACACAUGCAAGUCGAACGAAGAGCGAUGGAAGCUUGCUUCUAUCAAUCUUAGUGGCGAACGGGUGAGUAACGCGUAAUCAACCUGCCCUUCAGAGGGGGACAACAGUUGGAAACGACUGCUAAUACCGCAUACGAUCUAACCUCGGCAUCGAGGAUGGAUGAAAGGUGGCCUCUAUUUAUAAGCUAUCACUGAAGGAGGGGAUUGCGUCUGAUUAGCUAGUUGGAGGGGUAACGGCCCACCAAGGCGAUGAUCAGUAGCCGGUCUGAGAGGAUGAACGGCCACAUUGGGACUGAGACACGGCCCAGACUCCUACGGGAGGCAGCAGUGGUGAAUCUUCCGCAAUAGACGAAAGUCUGACGGAGCAACGCCGCGUGAGUGAUGACGGCCUUCGGGUUGUAAAGCUCUGUUAAUCGGGACGAAAGGCCUUCUUGCGAAUAGUUAGAAGGAUUGACGGUACCGGAAUAGAAAGCCACGGCUAACUACGUG